rnacentral:rRNA from 1 species
GUUGAACGCUGGCGGCGUGCCUAACACAUGCAAGUCGAGCGAUUUACUUCGGUAAAGAGCGGCGGACGGGUGAGUAACGCGUGGGUAACCUGCCCUGUACACACGGAUAACAUACCGAAAGGUAUGCUAAUACGAGAUAAUAUACUUUUAUCGCAUGGUAGAAGUAUCAAAGCUUUUGCGGUACAGGAUGGACCCGCGUCUGAUUAGCUAGUUGGUAAGGUAACGGCUUACCAAGGCGACGAUCAGUAGCCGACCUGAGAGGGUGAUCGGCCACAUUGGAACUGAGACACGGUCCAAACUCCUACGGGAGGCAGCAGUGGGGAAUAUUGCACAAUGGGCGAAAGCCUGACGCAGCAACGCCGCGUGAGCGAUGAAGGCCUUCGGGUCGUAAAGCUCUGUCCUCAAGGAAGAUAAUGACGGUACUUGAGGAGGAAGCCCCGGCUAACUACGUGCCAGCAGCCGCGGUAA